rnacentral:tRNA from 6 species
GCCGAAGUGGUGGAAUUGGUAGACACGCAGGUCUCAAAAACCUGUGGCCUCAUAAGCCGUGACGGUUCGAUUCCGUCCUUCGGCA